rnacentral:rRNA from 1 species
AGAUGUUGGGUUAAGUCCCGCAACGAGCGCAACCCUUAAGCUUAGUUGCCAUCAUUAAGUUGGGCACUCUAAGUUGACUGCCGGUGACAAACCGGAGGAAGGUGGGGAUGACGUCAAAUCAUCAUGCCCCUUAUGAUUUGGGCUACACACGUGCUACAAUGGACAAUACAAAGGGCAGCGAAACCGCGAGGUCAAGCAAAUCCCAUAAAGUUGUUCUCAGUUCGGAUUGUAGUCUGCAACUCGACUACAUGAAGCUGGAAUCGCUAGUAAUCGUAGAUCAGCAUGCUACGGUGAAUACGUUCCCGGGUCUUGUACACACCGCCCGUCACACCACGAGAGUUUGUAACACCCGAAGCCGGUGGAGUAACCUUUUAGGAGCUAGCCGUCGAAGGUGGGACAAAUGAUUGGGGUGAAGUCGUAACAAGGUAGCCGUAUCGGAAGGUGCGGCUGGAUCACCUCCUUUCUAAGGA